rnacentral:rRNA from 1 species
GACGAACGCUGGCGGCGUGCCUAAUACAUGCAAGUAGAACGCAGUUGCGCACGGGUGAGUAACCCGUAGGUCACUUGCUGGUAGCGGGUAAUAACUAUUGGAAACGAUAGCUAAUACAGCAUCAUACCAGAUGGACCUGCGUGGUAUUAGCUGUGUGGUUGGGUAACGGCUUACCAAGGAGACGGUACAUAGCCGACCAGUGAGGGGGAUCGGCCAAACUGGGACGUGGAAACGGCCCAGACUCCUACCGGAGGCAGCAGUUGGGGAACUUCGGCAAUUGACGGAAGUCUGACCCAGCAACGCCGGGUGAGUGAAGGAAGUUUUCGGAUCGUAAAGCUCUGUUGUAAGGGAAGCGGUAUCUUACCAGAAAGGGACGGCUAACUACGUGCCAGCCGCCGCGGUAAUUC